AUUGAACGCUGGCGGCAUGCCUUACACAUGCAAGUCGAACGGUAACAGGUCUUCGGAUGCUGACGAGUGGCGAACGGGUGAGUAAUACAUCGGAACGUGCCCGAUCGUGGGGGAUAACGAGGCGAAAGCUUUGCUAAUACCGCAUACGAUCUACGGAUGAAAGCGGGGGAUCUUCGGACCUCGCGCGGACGGAGCGGCCGAUGGCAGAUUAGGUAGUUGGUGGGAUAAAAGCUUACCAAGCCGACGAUCUGUAGCUGGUCUGAGAGGAUGAUCAGCCACACUGGGACUGAGACACGGCCCAGACUCCUACGGGAGGCAGCAGUGGGGAAUUUUGGACAAUGGGCGAAAGCCUGAUCCAGCCAUGCCGCGUGCAGGAUGAAGGCCUUCGGGUUGUAAACUGCUUUUGUACGGAACGAAAAGCCUCUUUCUAAUAAAGAGGGGUCAUGACGGUACCGUAAGAA
rnacentral:rRNA from 1 species